rnacentral:rRNA from 1 species
AGCGAACGCUGGCGGCAGGCCUAAUACAUGCAAGUCGAGCGCACCUUCGGGUGAGCGGCGGACGGGUGAGUAACGCGUGGGAACGUGCCCUUUGGUACGGGAUAACUGAGGGAAACUUCAGCUACUACCGUAUGUGCCCUACGGGGGAAAGAUGUAUCGCCAUUGGAGCGGCCCGCGUUGGAUGAGGUAGUGGGUGGGGUAAAGGCCCACCAAGGCGACGAUCCAUAGCUGGUCUGAGAGGAUGAUCAGCAACACUGGGACUGAGACACGGCCCAGACUCCUACGGGAGGCAGCAGUAGGGAAUCUUGCGCAAUGGGCGAAAGCCUGACGCAGCCAUGCCGCGUGAAUGAUGAAGGUCUUAGGAUUGUAAAAUUCUUUCACCGGGGAAGAUAAUGACGGUACCCGGAGAAGAAGCCCCGGCUAACUUCGUGCCAGCCGCCGCGGUAACAC